UAACCCUUCCCUCCUCUACCUCGAAUCCCCCUAUUCCCUUCCCUUGGGUCCUCCUGAACACCUCAACCCCACGGUCCGCCCCCCACAUAUAUCCUGGUCACUCAUUCACACGCUGAGCUAGUCCUUCAGGGGCCCCCAGAGCCCACCAAACUUCUCCAUCCAUGAGCCCCAUGGCCCUGUGGCCGGGAAGGGGGGGGCAAGCUCCCAAUGUGGCUGGGCUGGGUGUGGGUGUGAAUCUUUUCUUGUCUGGUGUGUCCUGGGCUCACAAAGACUCUUUGCUCCCUCAGGGUGGGGUGUGGUUUUUGGCCGAAGGUGACACGGUUUGGGAGCCCUGUGGAUGCGAUGUGGUGUCUGCAAUGGGGCGUGGGAAGGAGAAGAGCGAUAUGAAGAUGGCGUCUAAGAGGAGGCCAGGUGACUUCUGUGGAGGGAGACAUGCUGGACAAUGCCAAGGAUUGGGGAGACAACCAGAUGGAGUCCAAGAGGGAUAGGAAGGAGAGGACGAGCGCCCCAGUACUCAAGAAUAAUAAGGCCAUGGGCAGGAGAAGUGCGCAUUGAUCCCCACAGGCUUGGUCUCGAGAGCCUGCACCAUCUAGCAGGAGGGAAGAGAAUCAUAGCAGGUCCUGGAGGCGACAGUG